GGGGACGUAGCUCAGUUGGUAGAGCGCCUGCUUUGCAAGCAGGAUGUCAGGGGUUCGAGUCCCCUCGUCUCCA
rnacentral:tRNA from 1 species